rnacentral:rRNA from 1 species
GACGAACGCUGGCGGCGUGCUUAACACAUGCAAGUCGAACGGAAAGGCCCUGCUUUUGUGGGGUGCUCGAGUGGCGAACGGGUGAGUAACAAGUGAGUAACCUGCCCUUGACUUUGGGAUAACUUCAGGAAACUGGGGAUAAUACCGGAUAGGAGCUCCUGCUGCAUGGUGGGGGUGGGAAAGUUUCGGCGGUUGGGGCUGGUCUCGCGGCUUAUCAGCUUGUUGGUGGGGUAGUGGCUUACCAAGGCUUUGACGGGUAGCCGGCCUGAGAGGGUGACCGGCCACAUUGGGACUGAGAUACGGCCCAGACUCCUACGGGAGGCAGCAGUGGGGAAUAUUGCACAAUGGGCGGAAGCCUGAUGCAGCAACGCCGCGUGCGGGAUGACGGCCUUCGGGUUGUAAACCGCUUUCGCCUGUGACGAAGCGUGAGUGACGGUAAUGGGUAAAGAAGCACCGGCUAACUACGUG